GGAUCAGUUCGGACUGGAAGCUUUGUGGAAAGAGUUUAUAACGGUUCAAUCUUUUCUUCACCCCUGGCUGAGAGCCCGGGAUUAUAGGAGGCUGUACGGAAGAACCAAGCUGCUAGCAGCGCAUCGGACAACGAAAUUAACCAGCACGCCAUCCGCUGGUUCAACCUGGCCUCUGACCGUGGAGGUGGCUGCAAAGAACGUGCCAUGGCCAGAGAGGCAUUAACCAUGAAAUGAACACAUCGGCCAUCCCCCACUCUUCCACUACUGAUGAUUUGUUGGGUGUCAUGUGAGGGUUAUGGCAUUCCCACUUCUCCACUUGCCUCAUCAAUGUUUCCCGUAAAGCCACCAAACAAUGUGUAUGAACAUUUUACAUUUUUUUCAGGGUUUCACAUGACUAGUUGGAGUUGGAUGUUGUAUUUUGGCUAUAAAAUAUUUGUUAUUUAUACCAGGGUCAUGGAAAAUGGUUAAAAUCUAAAUGGCUGGCAGUAAUCAUCUAUCAAGACAAACUUAUUGCUUGUCGCUAAUUAAAACGUUAUCUUGUGUGUUUAGGCCGUAGAAUCUCGUGUGUCUCCUGGCUUUAGCUUUAUAUGUUUCUCAGGGAGAAAGAAAUCUUACUUUCUUACCAUCAUCAUUAUUAAUGGUACACUACACUAUGCAAGACUGAUAGCAAUGUCAAUGUAUUGAGCUUUUUAACUAAGCCACACUGUUGCUAUUAUUAGAGUUUAAUACUUCUGCAUUCAUUUAAAAAUA